AGUCAUAUGCUUGUCUCAAAGAUUAAGCCAUGCAUGUGUAAGUACAAGCCGAUUUAAGGCGAAACCGCGAAUGGCUCAUUAAAUCAGCUAUGUUUCAUUGGAUCUGUAAACCCACUUACUUGGAUAACUGUGGCAAUUCUAGAGCUAAUACAUGCAAUUGGUCUCUGACCGCAAGGGAAGAGCGCUUUUAUUAGUUCAAAACUGGUCGGGCCCCGGUCCGUAACCCACCUGUGGUGAAUCUGAAUAACUUCGGGCUGAGCGCACGGUCUCCGCACCGGCGCCGCUUCUUUCAAGUGUCUGCCUUAUCAGCUUUCGAUUGUAGGUUAUGCGCCUACAAUGGCUAUAACGGGUAACGGGGAAUCAGGGUUCGAUUCCGGAGAGGGAGCCUGAGAAACGGCUACCACAUCUAAGGAAGGCAGCAGGCACGCAAAUUACCCACUCCCGGCACGGGGAGGUAGUGACGAAAAAUAACGAUGUGAGUCUCAUCCGAGGCCUCGCAAUCGGAAUGAGUACACUUUAAAUCCUUUAACGAGUAUCCAUUGGAGGGCAAGUCUGGUGCCAGCAGCCGCGGUAAUUCCAGCUCCAAUAGCGUAUAUUAAAGUUGUUGCGGUUAAAAAGCUCGUAGUUGGAUCUCAGUUCCGGACUGACGGUGCACCGCCCGGUGUUUACUGUCACGCUCCGAACAGCCGCCCCGCCGGCUCGCACGGGAUGCUCUUUGUCGAGUGUCCCGAGUGGC
rnacentral:rRNA from 1 species